CCGAUAUGCUCCGGGGAGCUGUAAGUAAGCUUUGAUCCGGAGAUUUCCGAAUGGGGCAACCCAAUAUCUUUGAUAGGAUAUUACGUUACACUGAAUACAUAGGUGUAUCGAGGAACACGCAGGGAACUGAAACAUCUCAUUACCUGCAGGAAGAGAAAGAAAAUUCGAUUCCCUUAGUAGCGGCGAGCGAAACGGGAAAAGCCCAAACCAAAGAGCUUGCUCUUUGGGGUUGUAGGACUGGGACAUGAGACUGCAAUGGAUAGCAGAAGCCAACUGGAAAGUUGCGCAACAUAGGGUAAUAGCCCCGUAUGCGAAAUCCAAAUCAGCUCUACCAGUAUCCUGAGUACGGCGGAACACGAGAAAUUCCGUCGGAAUCCGGGAGGACCAUCUCCCAAGGCUAAAUACUCCCUAGUGACCGAUAGUGAACCAGUACCGUGAGGGAAAGGUGAAAAAGCACCCCGGAAGGGGAGUG
rnacentral:rRNA from 1 species